CCUUACGCUCACCAAAGUUAAGCAACGUUGAGCCUAGUCAGUACUUAGAUGAGUGACCGCUUGGAAAUGCCAGGUGCUGUAAG